rnacentral:lncRNA from 1 species
GACAGCACCCUAACUGGCUGGUCUCGUAUGCAAAUCAGCUCCAAAGAUGAGCUCUUCCUAACACAUUUCCAGUCGCUAGAGCUCAGACAUAGAACAUUCCUUCAAACAGCAGGGUAGAAGCCCCCAUCCACUGCCACAGUGCAUUCUGGGAAGAUGUCUGUAGUAUACAUUGCUGUGGGAUUAGGCCUUGUGGGAUAUGGCUGCUUGUCAUUUUGAUGUAUUUUAAAUAAAUAAAUAAAUAUAUAUAUAUAUUUUUAAAGAGCCUUUUUUACCAGUUCAAAAGCUUAAUUAACCAGCUGUCACCACAUCUGAAUUUUUGUCUCUGGGGCAUUGACGGCAGGCAGAGACUAAAAGUGGCAACUCAGCUAUGAGUUGCCUGCCCUGGGCUGUCCUGCUGUCCUGCUGACCGUGGGACACCAGGGCCAGCGUGUUCCCGGUGGGUUUCAACUCAGCCCUCUGGGUGUUUGGUCUCUGCCUCACUUAGCGGACUUAGUCCUUAGUCCUUGUAAGUGCUUUAGCCCCAGUGGGGUUUUCCCAGAGCACUGCCACGAGUUGAGUGUAUGAGUUUAGCCAAAUAAUUUCUCCACUGGGAAAAGCACUAUCACGGAAAUUGUACCUGCUUCAAAAGAGACCAGAGUAGGAAAGACUAGUUGCCUAGGCCGUCUGGGAGCAAGCAGUUGUCACGUGCGGGCAGGAGAUCUCAUCUGAAAAGCUAGGUCCACCAGCAGGGGUGCAGUUGUUAAAAUGCCAGUGGCUUGCUUUCCCAUGUCCCCCCACCUACCCCCUGAAUUCUGUAACUGCAAAGGAAACUGAGUGGUACUGGAGAACCGCAGGGAGGGUACCACAGAUGAGAGACAACGCUUCUAGACUUCAGUUCAUGCCACGGAUGCACACGAUGCCGUUUCAACUGUACGGGAGAAUCUGCUUACGAACCUGACGUCAUCCCUGUGAUGGCGUCAGAGGCCACAGUUUUCACACGUUACCAUCUCUGCACAUUUGUCCUCGAAUCUGAGUCGCAUUAUUCAGUACUGUAAAGUUAACUUGCGUCGAGUUUGAUGUCGAUUCCUGUGAAGAAGAGCUUUUGGCACGUGACAGACAGUGAGUUACAAAACACAGCAAAGCACGGAAUUUUUUGCAGGGACAAUUUUGGAACCAACAGAAAAUGUCACUUUUUAGUUAGCAUCUUAUGUAUCACUUUUACCGGCUAUUUCUAACUUUGGAAGGGAAACCUUGAAGCUUGUGUAACUUAGUGGAAAUGUGUGUGUCGCCCUUAGGAUGGGUAGCCAAGUCUCACUAAGCUGUGUUAAUCUAACUUGUAUAUAUGAAUUGUAAUUAAGAGUUUGGAUUCACCUGUUUCUCACGGUUUAAAAGUGAUGGGUCAUUGCGAAGUCUGGAGAUGUGACUAGUCUAUGAUUUCAAGCUGUUAGAAGUCAGGAAGCUCUCUGAAAUGCUAAAACUAAGAUUCUAGUUUUGGGCUCAAAUUCGAUUAAGUACUGUUUGUAUGCCAGAGUAUGUGAGGUGUAAAUGUAGUGGGGUACUUUUCACCCUUGUAGCUGUAAAAUUCACAUUUUGUAGAACAGAAAAUAGCUUGUACUACUGAAUUAACAAGUUAUACUAAAGUAUCAUGUCUUAAAAACAAAAACAAAAAUACAUAUAUCUAUCUAUAUAUAUACACACACACACAGAGUUAAGCUUGUUGCUGUUACCCUGUCUGGAUUUGAAAAUUGUGCUGAUUUAUAUAACACACACACACAUACACACACACACACACACACACACCCCUAUAAUGGCCUGAAGCAGACAUACCUGUAACUACAGUUGCAAACUGCAGACAUUUUGGAGAGAACACUGUACCAUAGCUCAUUCAUUGCGUGGCUCUUUGCUCCUUUUUCCUGUGGUCAUUUUAGAAACGAGUGUCAAGUUUGAAAUUAGAUCUGCUAAGUUGGGGUUCUGCUGCUGAAUUCUGCACUGGGUCCCCAAACAAACCGAUGUGAAUGUAGUUUUUCCCCCUGUGUGAAGGAGCAGCCACAGCCCCAUCAGAAUAGGAGGAAAAGUCUAGAAGUAUCUCAAGGUUUAUCUUUUUGUAUAUGAAAAUAAAUAAUAAUAAAUAAAAUAA